GCAAAGCAGCAGACCCCCUUUGGGAAGCUUCACCUCUGUGAGCUUCCCUCUUUGCCCCAUUCUUUUUCAGUCCAGCAAACAGGAGAGUCCACAAUCUUCAAAGAGAUCAAAAUCAGUGUGAGUUGGGAAUUCAUUUUUUUUUAAAAAUAGAAGUGAGGUUAGAUGAUUUUUAAAUUGCAUGUACUGAACAGUACUUUUUAAUAUAAAAAGAAGGCUUAGCAUUUGAAUUGUUGGAGAUUACAAUGUUAUACUAUUAUUUUAUUUCUUUUUUGGUCUGGAUCUAAGAUUUCAG
rnacentral:lncRNA from 1 species